UGAGAGUGCUAGCAAUAAAAAGUUACAUGCCACUUCACUUUCAUGUGUGAAUUGCAGUUCAAUACUGUACAAGUCUCUGCUGGUUCGUUUUUAAGGAUGCAGAUGCUGUCACCACUGGUAAAUCUUGAAACCUUACUUCAUAUACUGUAGGAGCAUUGUAGCUACUGAAAGAUAUGUGCACAAGAGGGGUACUUUACUUCAUAUACUGUAGGAGCAUUGUAGCUACUGAAAGAUAUGUGCAUAAGAGGGGUGAAGAUUUCUUCACCCUUAUAAACUAUAUUUCUGAUCGGAAAAAAAAAUACUGUAUUUUCGAUGAUGUACAAAAUUAGUUUAAUACUAGCAUUUUGUAGUCCAUUUUUCUGAAACCUUAUUUUCUUCUUAAUUUAUGUCCAAU
rnacentral:lncRNA from 1 species